UUUCAUUAUUAUUUUAGACCAUUGAAGAUAAGCAUAUAAAUCAAUUCAACUUAAGAGCUGCGUUUACAUAGAACAACUUAAAAGAGUUCGCAUUAUUAAGAAACACCUAUCCUGGAAAUUCCAGGCCCCAAAAAGGGGAUUUAUUGUUGUCCAAAUGGUAAUGUGCUCUGCUGCUUCAACAGAAUAAACUUGCACCUAAACUUUCUGCUGCGAAUCAGCACCGUUAGUCGCAAGCAUAUUUAUCCACACGUUUGGUCAAUGGUAACUUCGCCCCCAAUUGACGAACUGAGGGAAUCAACCUCAAUUAGUUUACUUGGUGUCUAUGAUGUAGGAUAUAUUUGACAACUUCAUAAAAGGAAACAACAAUCCCAACAGAAGGACCAGCACGAGCAACACGGGGCCCGAUUCCUGUGAACAGUCCCUUCACCCCACCAUCCCUCCAGAUUUCUCGUAAUGUUUGUCUUGUAGUCAUAUUUAAUGCCCUGGAUGGAUCCUUCUCUAUCUGCCUUCUGGUCCUUGCAACAUCUAAUGGGCACGUAGCAGCAGCUGCCAGAGUUCCUGCAACAAAACCAGCAGAAAAGUUU
rnacentral:misc_RNA from 1 species